UACAGAGGGUGCAAGCGUUGUUCGGAAUCAUUGGGCGUAAAGGGCGUGUAGGCGGCUUGUUAAGUCUGGUGUGAAAGCCCUCGGCUCAACCGAGGACGUGCAUUGGAUACUGGCAAGCUUGAGUACGGGAGGGGGAGGCGGAAUUCCCAGUGUAGAGGUGAAAUUCGUAGAUAUUGGGAGGAACACCCGUGGCGAAGGCGGCUUCCUGGACCGAUACUGACGCUGAGACGCGAAAGCGUGGGGAGCAAACAGG
rnacentral:rRNA from 1 species